GACGAACGCUGGCGGCGUGCUUAACACAUGCAAGUCGAGCGGUAAGGCCCUUUCGGGGGUACACGAGCGGCGAACGGGUGAGUAACACGUGGGUGACCUGCCCUCAGCUCUGGGAUAAGCCUGGGAAACCGGGUCUAAUACUGGAUAUGACUCCAUGACGCAUGUUGUGGGGUGGAAAGCCUUGUGCGGCUGAGGAUGGGCCCGCGGCCUAUCAGCUUGUUGGUGGGGGAUGGCCUACCAAGGCGACGACGGGUAGCCGGCCUGAGAGGGCGACCGGCCACACUGGGACUGAGACACGGCCCAGACUCUUACGGGAGGCAGCAGUGGGGAAUCUUGCGCAAUGGGCGAAAGCCUGACGCAGCGACGCCGCGUGAGGGAUGACGGCCUGGU
rnacentral:rRNA from 1 species